AUUAAAACACUGGUUCCCAUAUGAUUACUGAAGUUAAGCACUGUUGAACCUGGUCAAUACUUAAAUGGGUGACUGCUUGGGAAUGCUAGGUACUGUAAG